CGAGCCGGCCGGGCGGCCGCGUCAGCGGGAGAUCGCUGCCGAGGAACGUCCGGGCUCCACAGGGCGAGGUGGUGGGUAACGCCCACCCGGGGUGACCCGCGGGACAGUGCCACAGAGAGAAGACCGCCGGCAGACGUGAACGCGCCUGCCGGUAAGGGUGAAAGGGUGCGGUAAGAGCGCACCAGCGCCCCGGGUGACCGGGGCGGCUAGGUAAACCCCACCCGGAGCAAGGCCAAGAGGUGGGCCGCGAGGCCCGCUGCGCAGGCGUUCGAGGGCUGCCCGCCCGAGCCUGCGGGUAGGCCGCUGGAGGCUGCCGGCAACGGCAGUCCUAGAUGGAUGGUCGCCGGCCGGAGCAGUGCCGCAAGGCGCUCCGGCUCACAGAACCCGGCGUACAGGCCG
rnacentral:RNase_P_RNA from 1 species